rnacentral:tRNA from 1 species
GCGCCAGUAGCUCAAUGGAUAGAGCGUUUGACUACGAAUCAAAAGGUUGGGGGUUCGAGUCCCUCCUGGCGCG